AAAUUCCGGGGCUUAACUCCGGGCGUGCAGGCGAUACGGGCAUAACUUGAGUGCUGUAGGGGAGACUGGAAUUCCUGGUGUAGCGGUGAAAUGCGCAGAUAUCAGGAGGAACACCGAUGGCGAAGGCAGGUCUCUGGGCAGUUACUGACGCUGAGGAGCGAAAGCAUGGGUAGCGAACAGGAUUAGAUACCCUGGUAGUCCAUGCCGUAAACGGUGGGCGCUAGGUGUAGGGGGCUUCCACGUCUUCUGUGCCGUAGCUAACGCAUUAAGCGCCCCGCCUGGGGAGUACGGCCGCAAGGCUAAAACUCAAAGGAAUUGACGGGGGCCCGCACAAGCGGCGGAGCAUGUGGAUUAAUUCGAUGCAACGCGAAGAACCUUACCUGGGCUUGACAUACACCAGAUCGCUGCAGAGAUGUAGUUUCCCUUGUGGUUGGUGUACAGGUGGUGCAUGGUUGUCGUCAGCUCGUGUCGUGAGAUGUUGGGUUAAGUCCCGCAACGAGCGCAACCCUUGUCUUAUGUUGCCAGCAUUUUAGUUGGGGACUCAUGAGAGACUGCCGGGGUUAACUCGGAGGAAGGUGGGGAUGACGUCAAAUCAUCAUGCCCCUUAUGUCCAGGGCUUCACACAUGCUACAAUGGUCGGUACAACGCGCAGCGACACUGUGAGGUGGAGCGAAUCGCUGAAAGCCGGUCUUAGUUCGGAUUGGGG
rnacentral:rRNA from 1 species